rnacentral:rRNA from 1 species
AACGAACGCUGGCGGCAUGCCUAACACAUGCAAGUCGAACGAACCCUUCGGGGUUAGUGGCGCACGGGUGCGUAACGCGUGGGAAUCUGCCCUUUGCUUCGGAAUAACUCAGGGAAACUUGUGCUAAUACCGGAUGAUGUCUUCGGACCAAAGAUUUAUUGGCAAGGGAUGAGCCCGCGUAGGAUUAGGUAGUUGGUGGGGUAAAGACCUACCAAGCCGACGAUCCUUAGCUGGUCUGAGAGGAUGAUCAGCCACACUGGGACUGAGACACGGCCCAGACUCCUACGGGAGGCAGCAGUGGGGAAUAUUGGACAAUGGGCGCAAGCCUGAUCCAGCAAUGCCGCGUGAGUGAUGAAGGCCCUCGGGUCGUAAAGCUCUUUUACCAGGGAUGAUAAUGACAGUACCUGGAGAAUAAGCUCCGGCUAACUCCGUG